GAUUGGAUUAUUGAAUUCUCAGAAUGCUAUUGUCCAGGCAGAUCUGGUUACUUCCAUUUACUAGUCCGAAUGUUAUUUUAUUGACCAUGAAUCUUUACUUUUGUUGGCUUUCUUAGUCCGUCAUCUUAUUGAACUUUUAUUAGAUACAAAUGAUCUGGGAUCCCAAGCAACAAAUUGAGAUGGUGGGAGUUCCAGAAGAGCGUUUGGCUGGUCAUGCUUUCCAUAUGUAUCACCUCACCUCACCCGACCAAACAGUUUCUUUCGAGUUUCAGCAUCAUGUUUGUGGUAGAUCAAUAUAUGCCGAGGGUACUAUUGGUGCUGUAAUUUUCCUUUCUAAAAAGGUUCAUGAAAUUGCAAUGGUGUCAGCAAUUUAAGAAGCUCAGAAGAAUAACCUUAGAAGUUUCAAUGAUUACAUGAUGAAAGUUUUGGAGGAAGACUGGCAAAAACAAGAAGGUGAUUUCUUUAGCGCUUGAGUCGAAUUUCAACAUUACCCAAGACUAACGUGACUGAUACAAGCACAGGUGGAACUCUUUCGGGUCAAAUAGUGUCCAUGACUUCUAGUCCACAGAUUUCCUCUGGACCGUCUAGCAUGGAGCUUGUACCCUUAGCUAACAAGCCUGUCCUUGAGAAAAAAGCAACAGUUUGUGCUGAACAAUGCGAGAGACUGAGGAGUACCAUUUAAAAUGAAAACCAUUACAAAACUUGUAGAGAAAUUAGCAGCGAUGAAGUCUAUUUGGCUGACCAAGAUGAUGAUGAGGAAGAUUAAUUUAUGGGUUCUGUAUCCAAGUUACAACUCAGGAAAGAUAUUUCUAAGGCUCGUUGGAACGAUGAAUUAGGGAUGGCUGAGGUUGUGGAAAAGAAGGGUAAGGUGGUGGACAACAGCAGCAAGACGUUUUGCUCAAUUGAGGAGACUUCGUAGGUUUCUGGUUGAAGUUAGGGCAUUACUUCUGUUGGAUGAUAAAGAUUCUAGUCUUCCUUCAAAAUAUAUAUAUAUAUAUAUAUAUAUAUAUGCGAAGGUUGCAGAGGAGAAGACUGGAUGUUCUUUUUU